rnacentral:misc_RNA from 1 species
CAACCCUUAAGCCUAGCUUAGUAUUGGGAAUCUACUAUAUUGUAGUUCCUCAAAUCCAACGGCGGAUCUGUGGUAUCCUUUAAGCGUAGUAAAUUUUUAUCUCGCUUUUGUUAGGUGCUGCAGCUCCCAGCCGCUAAACCCCCAAUUUUUAAU